rnacentral:rRNA from 1 species
GAUGAACGCUGGCGGCGUGCUUAACACAUGCAAGUCGAACGGAAAGGCCCUGAUCUUGUGGGGUGCUCGAGUGGCGAACGGGUGAGUAACACGUGAGUAACCUGCACCUGACUUUGGGAUAACUUCAGGGAACUGGGGCUAAUACCGGAUAGGAGCUACUGAUGCAUGGGGGGGGAUGGAAAGUUUCGGCGGUUGGGGAUGGAAUGGCGGCUUAUCAGCUUGUUGGUGGGGUAGUGGCUUACCAAGGCUUUGACGGGUAGCCGGCCUGAGAGGGUGACCGGCCACAUGGGGACUGAGAUACGGCGCAGACGCCUACGGGAGGCAGCAGGGGAGAAUAUUGCACAAUGGGCGGACGCCUGAUGCAGCAACGCCGCGUGCGUGAUGACGGCCUUCGGGUUGUAAACCGCUUUCGCCUGUGACGAAGCGGGAGUGACGGUAAUGGGUAAAGAAGCACCGGCUAACUACGUG